UCCUGGGACUAAAUCUAUUUGGUGUUCUAUUCCCCUUAAAGGAGGUAGCCCAGGGGGUAUCUCUUUGGGAAAUAUAUCACCAAAUUCAUGUAAGAGUUCUUGGACCUUUGGGGGUAAGUUCUCAAAUGUAGGGAUUGUGGCAAUGCUAAGGGAUGUUUCCCUUAAUAGGAGAAGGUAGAAAGAUUGUUUAAGAAGGAGUGCUCUUUUAAUAUCACCUUUUGUUGCA
rnacentral:lncRNA from 1 species